AUUGAACGCUGGCGGCAGGCCUAACACAUGCAAGUCGAACGGUAACAGGAAACAGCUUGCUGUUUCGCUGACGAGUGGCGGACGGGUGAGUAAUGUCUGGGAAACUGCCUGAUGGAGGGGGAUAACUACUGGAAACGGUAGCUAAUACCGCAUAACGUCGCAAGAACAAAGAGGGGGACCCUCGGGCCUCUUGCCAUCGGAUGUGCCCAGAUGGGAUUAGCUUGUUGGUGGGGUAACGGCUCACCAAGGCGACGAUCCCUAGCUGGUCUGAGAGGAUGACCAGCCACACUGGAACUGAGACACGGUCCAGACUCCUACGGGAGGCAGCAGUGGGGAAUAUUGCACAAUGGGCGCAAGCCUGAUGCAGCCAUGCCGCGUGUAUGAAGAAGGCCUUCGGGUUGUAAAGUACUUUCAGCGGGGAGGAAGGGAGUAAAGUUAAUACCUUUGCUCAUUGACGUUACCCGCAGAAGAAGCACCGGCUAACUCCGUG
rnacentral:rRNA from 1 species